rnacentral:rRNA from 1 species
AUUGAACGCUGGCGGCAUGCCUAACACAUGCAAGUCGAACGAGUGGCGGACGGGUGAGUAAUAUAUGGGAACCUGCCUAGUGAAGGGGGAUAACUACUGGAAACGUUGGCUAAUACCGCAUACCAUCAGAUGUGCCCAGAUGGGAUUAGCUAGUGGGUGGGGUAACGGCUCACCAAGGCGACGAUCCCUAGCUGGUCUGAGAGGAUGACCAGCCACACUGGAACUGAGACACGGUCCAGACUCCUACGGGAGGCAGCAGUGGGGAAUAUUGCACAAUGGGCGCAAGCCUGAUGCAGCCAUGCCGCGUGUGUGAAGAAGGCCUUCGGGUUGUAAAGUACUUUCAGCGGGGAGGCGUUACCCGCAGAAGAAGCACCGGCUAACUCCGUGCCAGCAGCCGCGGUAAUAC